rnacentral:rRNA from 1 species
GACGAACGCUGGCGGCGUGCUUAACACAUGCAAGUCGAACGCUGAAGCUCAGCUUUUGUUGGGUGGAUGAGUGGCGAACGGGUGAGUAACACGUGAGUAACCUGCCUCCUUCUUUGGGAUAACGCCCGGAAACGGGUGCUAGUACUGGAUAUUCACUGGUCUUCGCAUGGGGGUUGGUGGAAAGGGUUUUUCUGGUGGGGGAUGGGCUCGCGGCCUAUCAGCUUGUUGGUGGGGUGAUGGCCUACCAAGGCUUUGACGGGUAGCCGGCCUGAGAGGGUGACCGGUCACAUUGGGACUGAGAUACGGCCGAGACUCCUACGGGAGGCAGCAGUGGGGAAUAUUGCACAAUGGGCGCAAGCCUGAUGCAGCGACGCCGCGUGAGGGAUGGAGGCCUUCGGGUUGUGAACCUCUUUCGCUCAUGGUCAAGCCGCAACAAUGGUUGUGGUGAGGGUAGUGGGUAAAGAAGCGCCGGCUAACUACGUG